rnacentral:rRNA from 1 species
GAGGAAUAUUGGUCAAUGGACGAGAGUCUGAACCAGCCAAGUAGCGUGAAGGAUGACUGCCCUAUGGGUUGUAAACUUCUUUUAUACGGGAAUAAAGUUAGCCACGUGUGGCUUUUUGUAUGUACCGUAUGAAUAAGGAUCGGCUAACUCCGUGCCAGCAGCCGCGGUAAUACGGAGGAUCCGAGCGUUAUCCGGAUUUAUUGGGUUUAAAGGGAGCGUAGGCGGGUUGUUAAGUCAGUUGUGAAAGUUUGCGGCUCAACCGUAAAAUUGCAGUUGAUACUGGCGACCUUGAGUGCAACAGAGGUAGGCGGAAUUCGUGGUGUAGCGGCGAAAUGCUUAGAUAUCACGAAGAACUCCGAUUGCGAAGGCAGCUUACUGGAUUGUAACUGACGCUGAUGCUCGAAAGUGUGGGUAUCAAACAGGAUUAGAUACCCUGGUAGUCCACACAGUAAACGAUGAAUACUCGCUGUUGGCGAUAUACGGUCAGCGGCCAAGCAAAAGCAUUAAGUAUUCCACCUGGGGAGUACGCCGGCAACGGUGAAACUCAAAGGAAUUGACGGGGGCCCGCACAAGCGGAGGAACAUGUGGUUUAAUUCGAUGAUACGCGAGGAACCUUACCCGGGCUUAAAUUGCAACUGACUGAACCGGAAACGGUUCUUUCUUCGGACAGUUGUGAAGGUGCUGCAUGGUUGUCGUCAGCUCGUGCCGUGAGGUGUCGGCUUAAGUGCCAUAACGAGCGCAACCCUUAUCGAUAGUUACUAGCAGGUCAUGCUGAGGACUCUAUUGAGACUGCCGUCGUAAGAUGUGAGGAAGGUGGGGAUGACGUCAAAUCAGCACGGCCCUUACGUCCGGGGCUACACACGUGUUACAAUGGGGGGUACAGAAGGCAGCUACACGGCGACGUGGUGCUAAUCCCGAAAGCCUCUCUCAGUUCGGAUUGGAGUCUGCAACCCGACUCCAUGAAGCUGGAUUCGCUAGUAAUCGCGCAUCAGCCACGGCGCGGUGAAUACGUUCCCG